GCACAGCGCCCCCAGGUGAGCGCGGGGAGGGACCGGGCCGAGCACGCGCCUCUCCAGCUCGCGGGGAGACAGGGUCUGGCGGGGCCGUGGGGGAAGAAAGAGACAGACAGACAGACAGACAGACAGAGAGAAACACACAGGUGCAGAGGACAGAGCGGCAGGAAUAACAGCGCACGUGGAGCAGAGCCCCCGGCUCCCAGCCGCAGGGGAAGCAGCCACCAGGUUCCAGAUGAUACCAUGAUGCCAACCCGACUUCCUUGGACAGACAACCCCACCAUGUGUCUUGGAGACACGCCUCUCCAGAAGCCCUGCCCCACUAGGGAAAGAGAGAGACAGGCAGGGAGUAUGGAUCGACCUGCCAAUACCCAUGUCCAGUGGAGAAGCAAUUACAGAAGCCAGACCUCCCACCUUCUGCAUCCCACAGUGACCCUGGGUUCAUGCUCCCAGAGGGAUAAAGAAUAGGGAAGAUAUCAAGGGAGGGGAUGGGAUAUGAAGCUCUGGGGGUGGGCAUUGUGUGGAAAUGUACCCCUCUUAUCCUGUAGUCUUGUCAAUAAUUCCAUUUUAUAAAUAAAAAAUAAAACAAACAAAAACAUACAUAUAAUGCAAUAUAUAGGAAAUAUGCCUUGUCUGCCUCUGAAUUUUUCUAUGAAACUAAAACUGUUUUUAAAAUAAAAAAAUAAAUAAAUAAACUUAGGGGAGUUGGGCGGUAGCAAAGCAGGUUAAACUCACAGUUCGAGCCCCCGGCUCCCCACCUGCAGGGGAGUCGCUUCACAGGUGGUGAAGCAGGUCUGCAAGUGUCUGUCUUUCUCUCCCCCCUCUCUGUCUUCCCCUCCUCUCUCCAUUUCUCUCUGUCCUAUCUAACAACAACAUCAAUAACUACAACAACAAGAAAAAACACAAGGGCAACAAAAGGGAAAAUAAA